ACAGGUUUUAUUUUUCCAGUUGUGACCUUCAGUACCUAUCCUGUGUCUUUUAAGAAUUUCCUCAUCCAGGGAACAUAUUCGUUGGCUUAAGAAUAACGGCAAAGCGUCUACAGGAGCGUUGGUCACCCGUUGAUUAAAGAAUUAAAUCUCACCACACUCCAGCCAGAUGGAGAAACCGAGGCAAAGAGGUUAAAGGAUCUCUCCUGAGCCCCAGAGUGUGUUGAUGUCUGUCCCCUCUCCCUAGACAUGUGCACAGACUACUAGACUUCUCUGCUCUGGCUGCAGGUAAG